GUAUCUAUGGCUGAAUGGUUAAAGCGUCUAACUCAUAAUUGGUAAAUUCAUAGGUUCAAGUCCUACUGGAUGCA
rfam:Capsicum annuum cultivar Zunla-1 chromosome 9, whole genome shotgun sequence